rnacentral:snoRNA from 2 species
CCCCUCUCAGGGUCGCACCUGGAGAGUUUCCAGUACUCUACCAGGCUUGAUUACAGGAGGGAGAGUCAAACAGAGGCAUAUCCAUUCCAUUCCUAGCUUGGGCAGUGGUUAGCAAGUGGACGGAAAUCUGCAACAAAU